GGGGCAGGGGUGCGUGCCUGCUUAGGUUAGAGUUAGGGGAGCGUAUCGGCGGCGGCGGCGGUGGGAGGAGAGCGAGGACGGCGUCCCUAGGCCGGCCGGUGGUCAUGACGUCCGGGAGGUGGCGCCGCGCGGCUCAGCCGCCUUCGGAGGCGAAGGGUCCGCGGGGGAUUGGACGGCGGCUGCUGUCUCCUAGCUAGAGAGGUGGCAUGCGACCUUUGGUAUGACGGAGUCCGACGCGUCAAGGGAGGACAAAUGUUCUCGCCAAAGGGGAGGCUGCAGGUAGCGGGCACGAUGGAGCGGCGGCCGCUCGAAGGGCGGCAGAUGUCGCUUUUACCUUGUAUAUAGUUAGAACAUUACCUACAAGCCCUACGAAAACUCCCUUUACUAAACCACUUUAUAACUAACGCUCCCAAACCUUGGUUCACUGUCGUUUUUUUUACUUCGUUUCGACUUCCUAGAACAAGGAACACAAGAGGACAGUUAACUGUUACUCGUCUAUAAUUAGAUGUCUCCGUCACUUACCUUGAGAUCUAUGAGUCGGAGGGUGAUAGUGAGGUUUUCAAGUUUUCUUAUUAGACCGUCACAGUUGACGAAACUCAUUGAGUCCUACCCACCAAUCUUCUCGACCUUCCCUUCCGCGUUCUUAUACUGUUCUUCCUACAACGUGUUGUUCUCUUCUAUUUCCUCGAGAUCUAACAACAUCUCUUCUAAUAGUCAAAAAUGACCGCCGGCAAUCUUCGACAUAUCUUCUACUACGUAAAAAUAAUCUAAGUUCACUCUAAUAAGUCUAAACGUAAUUUUUCGACAUAUCUUCAACUACGUAAAAAUAAUCUAAGUUCACUCUAAUAAGUCUGAACGUAUUUUUCACGGCUCCUAGCACGUUUCGAUUUAAUAGAAACAACAACGACGAAUAGGAACUCCUUCGAACACCAAUUCUUGACCU
rnacentral:rRNA from 1 species